CGUCGAUUCUUCGACGCUGUUUUCCAGCCUCGCCGUGACGUCACGCUGCGUAUCCCGAGCGCUCCCCGGAACGCGUGGUCCCGAUCGCGAGCACGUGGAAGUGAGGUCGAGAUGUUUCCGUGAGACGCGCGACUGAUCAUCAGGGAUGUUGUGGGGGGGGGGAGGACCAAAAGGAAUAGAAACGAGAGAAAACCCACCACGAAAAGCUGGAACCGAAGAGUACUACCAAGAUGCCAAAGAAGGUUGAGAUGACGAGAGGACAGGAUUGUACACAGUCAGUACUUUUUAAUUAAUGAAUAUAUCGGAGAGGCUGAGAUACAUCAGCCUACAUUUCAAAGGCAAUGUGUUAAAACUGUGAGCUUAUUAUCGCCCCCAAAUUCAUUUAAAGCAAAGUAUGACUGAACAUGUCCGUCUCCACGGAAUUAUUCCGACAGUCAAAAGCUGUUUUCGGAAAGUCCUUUUUCGUCACCCUAAACCAGCCGGCAAAACCAACGUUUGUCUAUUGGCGGGAUUAACGGCGCCCCGCUAAAGGCGCCCCCUGCUUCUCUAGUGUCGCUUUUCUGCAGGACAGUUGUGAAAACAUCAGCCGUGACAACAGAGGAGCAGAAGCCGCUGCCAGAUGACACCUCCCAGCCUCUAAUGGAGAUACAGUGUGAGGAGGGGGAGGAGGAGGAGGAGGAGGGGGAGGAAGAUGGUUUGUGCCACUGCUGACUUGUCACUGCCAGCCCAGCAGGCUCAUCCUGCUCCUGAUUAAUGGAGCUGUCCGUUGGGCCUCGCAGGGGAAGAGCGGGGCUCUUCUCCCGUCCCCAGAAGCCCCCGUUUAUUUUCCCACAACAGAUGGGCCCCCCGGGGCCUCGGGCUCGUUUGCACCUUCUGCGCUCGGCAUCCUUCAUCUUAAUCAGUAAAUCGGUUCCAGAGCACGGAGCCACGCGACCUACAGGCGACCUCUGUUACUUGUCCUCCUUCGGAUGCUCUAGAAAACAACAAUUUCUUCCUCUGCGCGUCCUCACCCCCCCCCCCCCCUGUCCCAGGAGACGGGCCCGAUGUGGUCGUCCUUCAGGGCCUUAAUGUAGUGUGAUGUUAGUCACAAAUCCAUGAUGGAAUACGCCAGUUUUUCUCCUGUAAUAGGCAUCACUACUCCACAUCAUUAUAAUUCACAUGGCUGUUUUAAAGGGCGCCCUGGACAUAUUUGGGGGGGCCGGUCUCCUGCAGUUAGACGUUAAAUCCAUAAUGAAGUGAAUGUAUCAAGCAUUUCUCGAAUAUAAAAGUUUCUCUCCCUUUCAAUUGUCUUUCUUUGAAUGGACUGAAAGAUGAGAAUCCGGUUGUUAUUGAUCACAAUGGAACCAAUCCGGGGUUUUUUUUAAGGCGUUGCUUCGCUGCUCAUCAACACAAAGUCAUUCCGCUCCAAGGCUUUUUCUUUUCAAUGCGAUCUAAUGUUAUGUUUAUUCGUCAUUCAUUCAGGCAUAAAGAAAGGAUUAUUUUCACCGUCUCAAUUUCCUUAAUUGAUCAAUUACUGGUCAGCCAAUUUAACAUUUUCUGUUUGAGAAUGUGUUUUUUCUUCUUUUUUUUUUUUUUUAAUCGCCAGUUUCUGCCAAAUUAGACAAACGUAACACCAGACGGGAGAAGAAGAAAAAAAACACGCUUGUCCCCAGAAGCGUGUCUGCCAUGUCUCCUGAGCCUUUUAUUCACACAGCAGAUUGUCUCCGUUUGUCUCAGAUUCAAAAAGAAUUCCACUUGGAACGGAGAAGACGGCCCUGGAACUGCCCGCUAAUCGUCGCAGGCGCACAAAUCCUUUGUUUUAACCCUCAGCUUUUUUUUAUAUUUCCUUUUGUGGCGGGUUGGACGUGUCUUAUCCUCUCUCCUCUGGGGGGGACAUUGGACAUUGUUUCCUGACAUCCUGCUGAUGACUGUUGUUUUCUUUUCACUAUCGGGGAAAAGCAGAACGGGACUUUUUCAGUUGCUGCUGAUUCACCGCAGAUUAGAUUGCUUUCCCCGGGCGUGAGAUCGCUUGGUUUCACUCUGUGACAUGAGGCAUUUAUAGUUGGGGCUUUAAUGCGUUCCGUUAUACGCGCAUGCUGUGAAUAUAAAGGGGACGGCUCUUUUUAUGUCUUGUGACAUCGAUUCGUGUCCGAAGCAUUUGCGACAGAUUUCAGCUCAUCGCAUUAAGUAACUGCUUCCUUCCGCUGAUUAUUUUCCUUGGAAGUUUUUUUUUCUCUACUAAGAGGGGAGUAAAACAGAUGCUUCAUGAGGGAGAAUUAGCCAGAUCUCUAAAUGUAAACUGAUUAAGGAUUAGUGGAGUGCGGCUCUGUCUCUUUUCCGCUCCCCUGAAAGUCAACGUUUCCCUGCCUCUCCCUGCAGCACACGUUUUAAUAUUCCUCGAAACUCUCACUGCAUUUUGGCUCAGCGAGGAUUUAUUUUGGCUGAAGAAAGUCGCAGGGGCAGUUUUGGUUACACUGCUGCAGAAGUAAGCGGUUUAAUGCUUAAAAUCCAACAGAUUUUCACACCUCCGUCACCAUUUGGCCUUCAGUAAACACCGGGCCGCGGAGGUUAACCGUCCUCACGCGGUACGCUGGCAGUUUACAAUGAAAACCGUGGCCGAUUGGCAGAUUUAUCAUAUUUGAAAUACUCCCACAGACGCGGAUUUAUCAGCUUUUCGAUGGCUAGCUAAUCCUUUACAUCUAUUGUUUGGUUGAACACUUUGUCUCCUAAUUUAUAAUGUUUUCAGCUGUGUUUUUAAAAGAACAAACCGGAUGUUCGAGCUAAUCCUUUAAUUAAGCAUCAAACGCCAGCCAACGAGUGCAGAGAAAGUCCGCGUUGGGAGGAGGCCGAGGCGGCUUCUGCACAACUCAUCAAGUGGUUUCGUUGGCUGGAUUCCACCUGACGGAGAACGAACACUACAACGCUGGUCUGCAGAGAUGCGCGUUGACCACAUUUUAUUCCGGCGACCGAUGAGUCAAUCAAUACAUCCCGGGGAGUACACGUCUUUGUACACCUCCUUCCUUUGUGGCGGACAACGGUUCGCUCUUUGUCUGCGAUGCCCUCACAUGGUGUUCCAGCCCACCUCCGUUUUAAUCUCUCUGGGCGCGAGCCAACUCUAAAUGCACAGAUCGCCGCUUUUCACAGAGACAGCAGUGUCAGCAGGGCUGUGCUCCUCCGCUGAGGCCCCCGGUGCUAAACCCCCACCCCCAAACCCCCACCCCCACACCCACACCCCGGGUCCCUGCCUCCCAUGCCCCGAAAAGGAGGUGGAACCUGCGGGACGGGGCUCUGCGGCAGUGGCCUGGUCCUCAUCAGCCGGUGGAGGUGUUUUUCAUUCAUUUACUCCGCAGCGCGACUCUGCCUUUAACAUUAAACAAGCAACGGUCGACGUGUAAAUAUUUAGCCUUCUGUGUUUGAGCGAGUUCAAAAGCUGUGGAUGAAAUGGGGGGGAGGGGAAGGGGGAGAGGGGCGAGGGGGGACACGCUUCAACUUCUGCACCCCUAAUAAAAGAAACAGAAUUAAGUGUCUGUGAAAAAAAGAAACUCCCAGCUAAACCUUCAGUUUCAUUGUAAGAGGGCGGCCAUUCAUCACAAACCUGUCCUUUCUAAUGUAGGACGCCGCUGCUUCCAGUUUUGUCCCCCGAGUUUCCCACCACCGGUUGUUGAUUAAUGCGCCUGCGAUUUAAACUCCACCGUCGCGUAGUACUAGGUUAGCCAUUGGCAUGCCUCGAAACGCGGCGUGCUGGGACGCGUGAGGGGGAAAAGGGUCACCGGGGUCGGGGGAGGAGGGGCGGCUGGUGCAAAGUGGCGGCAUGAGAGGUAAUUUUAGACGCCGGCUGGAAAACGGGUGUCCGCUCUUUAGACUGAUCAGAAAGGUCACGACCCCCCCCCUUUUUUUCUUCUUCUUCUUUUCUCCAAGUGCGGGAGAGGAACACGUACGGCUUCUUCAUUUUGAGUCCUUCCUGAAUGUGAAAUCCUCACGUUGAUGAAGACAAGAUAUUUCUUGGUUUUAAAGAGCUUCAGCCGCUGUUACUUUUUGAUGAAUCAGAUCUAUCUGCAGCACGAGAACCGAGGAGCUGACGUCGUGGGAAAAUGUCAACGCUCAUAUUCUGGGCAGUGCAGUUGCAGACCCCCCCCCCCCCGUGCAGUCCCGUGUUUUACGGCCGCCGCCGCACUUACGACCAGCAGAGAUACCGAUCAGAAUGGGAAGGAUGCGACGCUGAAUGCAGUCGGCGUUGGAUUCAGUUUCACCGAGUCCUAAAACACACACACAAACACACAAACACCGCAUGGGUUUUAAUACUAUCUACUUCCUCCUUUCUUCGAGGGGACACAUACACCCUGAAUGGGCCCCUGUGGUGAUCUGCGUUGUGGUCGAGAGUGUUACAACUGCCACGCUGGUCUGCUUAAAGGGGCCGUGCUGCUGAUCCUCUUUCAGGGGGUCCGUACGUCGCCGCAGCGUUUCAGGCUUCUGCACGGCUGCAUGUUUCCGCCUGUUGUCAGUGAGCGAGUGCGUUCUUGUACUAAUUGCAUAAACUUUAGGAAUCUAUAAUAGCUGGGGGGGGGCGGGGGGGGCUUGAGAAUUUGAGAAUCUAAAGAGAAUUAUUGAUCCGUCCACAGCGAAAGUGAAAGUCGAAUGGACUUUGUAAGUGUUUUAAGAAGCUGCACCCGUGUUUGAAAUAAAUAUUUCACAGGUCUUUGUGUGAGUUUUCCUUUUCUUUCCCGUCACCCCGACGGCGGUCCCGGAUGUUACGCAUCGCCGCCUCCUGUUUACAGCUGCAGAGAGCGAAAGUGUUUCAUCUGUACGUGAGCUCCUCGCGCUCCUCCCCGAGGGUCAAUUACACGCGUCUUCACCUACUACAGAAGCU
ensembl:lncRNA